rnacentral:misc_RNA from 1 species
GUGAAUCAUCGAAUUUUUGAACGCAAAUUGCACUCUCUUCGGAGAGUAUGCCUGUUUGAGGGUCAGUAUUAAUAAAAAUCGGAUUGUUGCUUCUUUGUGACGCUCCUGAGUGUGGGUCAUGUUAAUUUCCUUUAGUUUUUUAGAGGCUUUAAAUUGACUUUUUUUGUGCAUUGUAGAUGUACAUAAAUUCUUUUUUUUAUUCGUCUGUCUUAAUGCUCAAAUUCCUGUUAGAUGCGACCAUAUCG